UCGAGGGGCAGCAGGAAUAGCAAUAUUUGCUGGCGACCGGCGCACGGGUGCGUAACACGUAUACAAUCUGCCUUUAACAGGGGGAUAGCCCGGAGAAAUCCGGAUUAAUACCCCAUAAUAGAUUUGUCGGCAUCGACAGACUUUGAAAGCUCCGGCGGUUAAAGAUGAGUAUGCGUCUGAUUAGCUAGUUGGUGAGGUAACGGCUCACCAAGGCGACGAUCAGUAGGGGAUCUGAGAGGAUUAACCCCCACACGGAUACUGAGACACGGAUCCGACUCCUACGGGAGGCAGCAGUAAGGAAUAUUGGACAAUGCCCGCAAGGGUGAUCCAGCCAUGCCGCGUGCAGGAAGACGGCCCUAUGGGUUGUAAACUGCUUUUACACCGGAGAAAACCUCCCCUCGUGAGGGGAGCUGAUAGUAUGGUGAGAAUAAGCAUCGGCCAACUUCGUGCCAGCAGCCGCGGUAAGACGAAGGAUGCAAGCGUUAUCCGGAUUCAUUGGGUUUAAAGGGAGCGUAGGUGGCCUUAUAAGUCAGUGGUGAAAUCUCUGGGCUUAACCCAGAAAUUGCCAUUGAUACUGUAGGGCUUGAGUACAGUUGCUGUGGGCGGAAUAUGACAUGUAGUGGUGAAAUACAUAGAGAUGUCAUAGAACACCGAUUGCGAAAGCAGCUCACAAAACUGUAACUGACACUG
rnacentral:rRNA from 1 species